UAUUGGUCAGACUGGUCUUGAACUCCUGACCUUAGGUGAUUCACCCUCCUCGGCCUCCCAAAAGGCUGGGAUUACAAGUGUGAGCCACUGUGCCCGCCCUGGAUCUUUCUGAUAAUGGCAGCUACCCUUUAUGGAUUAUUAGUUUUUCUCACUCUGGCGCUUAGUGGUUUAGUGCCCUUUCAGCUGACCCUCUUGGGUACCCCACUGACAUAAUAGGCAUUAGCUCCAUUUAUCAGUGAAGACAGCAAGGUUCCUGGAGAUGGGGUUACUUCCUUAGCGUCAACACGCUACCAGUGAGGUGAGGACUCCGAAGCUCACCCUUAGCUGCAGCGCUGUGCCGUCGUCUCCUCAGCCGGUGUCUUCGUCAGCUGUGUCAGCAGUUCCUGUGAAAACUCUGGCCCUGUGUCCACCGCAGUGGAUUCUUGCCCUGAGUAGACAGAGGUUAGAGCAACACGGACCACAAAUACACUGGUGACUCCACUCGCCUCUGGCCAAGCUACAAAUCAUCGCCUGAGGCAGAGAUGCUAAUACCCUCUUCUGGGGCUCAACUGCUGACAGGCAUCAGUAAUCCAUCCCUGUGUAACAUUUCAAGGAUGCACUGGAGACAAUACAUGGGCUUCCUCUUUUGUUGGUGAGGAAUGAAAGAAGAUACAAGAAUCACACCAUGGAAUGUUUUCUUUUACAUCCAACUGCCACAUCAUAAAGGACGCCUUGAGAGACCUCCACCCCAGACCCCACAGUGCUUUGGGGCAGGAUGACUAGCGCAGUCCAGCUUCACAUGCAAGCAAGUCCUGGGAGGAAAUUUACAUUUCAAACUUUGAAAAAUCAGUGUCUAGGUUGGCAGCAGUACUCUGGAAACUGAUAAAACCAAAUUCUGUCCUGUAUUUCAAUUUCCCCUUCUAAGUUAAUACAUUAAUUGCUGCCCAUCAUACAGUACUUCAACCCUAAACUACAGCAAUUUCUUGAAAUUUCUGUCAACAUUUCUGUUGUAUAAAAGUUCCAUGCUUUGAAGAACCUAUGGGAGUAGAAAAAGUUUCUCUAGAAAUGUCACUGAACUGUAUUUUCAAGGUAGUUGCUCUAUGUGAUAAAUAUAUCUGACUAUACUAGGGAUUAUGUGCUUUAAAAAAAUAAUUUUGUUCACUGAAAAUUUACCUGUGUGUUCUCUCAUUGUUAAAUGUGAUUUUGGCUAUAAACUCUUUAGUGCAUUUAUCUAUGCGGUCUAAAUUAUACUCUAAAAAUUAUUAACACAGCUCAGUUAAACCAGAGUGGCUGCUCUCUUCACAAAUCACUGAUUUCUGCUAAAAUUUUAGCUUUUUUAUUGCAUCAAGAAGGCACAGUAAGAUCAUUUGGCAAAUUGUCAAGGUAUUUUUCUAAAGCCUCACCUAUAUAUACUAUUUCAACACAUGACCUGUAAGCUAUUUGCUGUUCAUACUCACAGUAAACCUUCCAUCUCUAGCUAUGGUGUUUACAGCCUAAUGGUUGGAAUCUGCUAGUCUCAAGGUGCUGGUAUUCUAGCACUAACAAUGCCAACUUGGACAAAGAAGAGAAUCUUGCAAAAAGAGUAAUCAUUCUACCUCUUAGCUGGGCAGUCUCUCUAUGAAUGCCUGUGCAUGUGACAAAGCUGCACCUAACUCAUUAUAAUGAGGUACUGUCUUGCCAAGCCUACUGAAAAUUAAAAUUACAUCACUAUUAGUGAAGUGAUACCAUAGCUAUUUAUUUUCAUGCAACUGAUUCAAGGUUAAGAUUCUGAAACGUACCCCUCAACAGGUUCUGGCACCACUUUCAACAACAUUCAGAUAUUCUGAGCAACACAUUUUUUUUUUACAGUGUUACUGCUGAAAUGUAUAAUGCCCUUUAGGA